UGGGGAAUCUUGGACAAUGGGCGCAAGCCUGAUCCAGCCAUGCCGCGUGGAUGAUGAAGGCCUUAGGGUUGUAAAAUCCUUUCGCCGAGGACGAUAAUGACGGUACUCGGAGAAGAAGCUCCGGCUAACUUCGUGCCAGCAGCCGCGGUAAUACGAAGGGGGCUAGCGUUGUUCGGAUUUACUGGGCGUAAAGCGCGUGUAGGCGGGUCGUUAAGUUGGGGGUGAAAUCCCGAGGCUCAACCUCGGAACUGCCUUCAAAACUGGCGACCUGGACCUAAGUAGAGGCAAGUGGAAUUGCGAGUGUAGAGGUGAAAUUCGUAGAUAUUCGCAGGAACACCAGUGGCGAAGGCGACUUGCUGGACUUAUGGUGACGCUGAGACGCGAAAGCGUGGGGAGCAAACAGGAUUAGAUACCCCAGUAGUCCCUGAGCGGGCUGGCAAGGCGCAU
rnacentral:rRNA from 1 species